UACGUAGGGGGGCUAGCGUUGUCCGGAAUCAUUGGGGCGUAAAGCGCGUGUAGGCGGUCCGGUAAGUCCGCUGUGAAAGUCGAGGGGCUCAACCCUCGAAUGCCGGUGGAUACUGUCGGGGCUUGAGUACGGGGAGAGGCGAGUGGAAUUCCUGGUGUAGCGGUGAAAUGCGCAGAUAUCAGGAGGAACACCGAUUGCGAAGGGCAG
rnacentral:rRNA from 1 species